rnacentral:rRNA from 1 species
GCAAGGCGGAGCUAAUCGCCCAAACGUGGUCUCAGUGCAGAUCGGGGGCUGCAACUCGCCCCCGUGAAGGCGGAGUUGCUAGUAACCGCGUAUCAGCCAUGGCGCGGUGAAUACGUUCCCGGGCCUUGUACACACCGCCCGUCACGUCAUGGGAGUGGCCAAUGCUUGAAGUCCGUGUGCUAACCCCCCACGGGGAGGCAGCGGCCGAGGGCAGGGGCCGCGACUGGGACGAAGUCGUAACAAGGUAGCA